UACAGAGGGGGCGAGCGUUGUUCGGAAUUACUGGGCGUAACGCGUGCGCAGGCGGUGAUGUACGACAGGUGUGAAAUCCCCGGGCUUAACCUGGGAACUGCAUUUGUGACUGCAUCGCUGGAGUGCGGCAGAGGGGGAUGGAAUUCCGCGUGUAGCAGUGAAAUGCGUAGAUAUCGGGAAGAACACCCGUGGCGAAGGCGGCUCUCUGGGACGGUACUGACGCUGAGACGCGAAAGCGUGGGGAGCGAACAGG
rnacentral:rRNA from 1 species